GCCCCUAUAGCUCAAUCGGAUAGAGCGAGAGAUUUCUAAUCUCUAGGUUGUAGGUUCGAGUCCUACUAGGGGUA
rnacentral:tRNA from 1 species